CCAUUUAGAAUUUGGCAUUGUGGCGAAAUCAUUCUUCUUUGGUGUUUCGAGCUACAUUUCGACAAAAGUACUGCCAAUCUAAUAUUUUUUAAAAUAUUUUGCUGAAAAGAAGAUAAUCACAAUAUGAUUGAAGAGACGAUUCUUAGAAGAGUUUUUUGCUCUUCUCUUUUUUUUCUUUUUCAUAUUUUUCAGAGAGAGAAAUUUUUUUCUCUCUUACUUCUGGAAUUAGGAUUGUUAGUUUCCAACUUUGAUAUGAUAAUAAAAUUCUGGGUUGAGUUUAGAUUAGUUAAUUUUUUCUCCUAUGCGUUUGGUCAUCUAUAGGUUUUGAGGCGGUGGCAAACAGAUCUAGUGGUGAGUGUCGAACUUCUUUCUUCGACUUUUGGAUCAUCCACUCUCGGCUAAGAGAUUCUCCUUGAGUCCUUCUUUUAAGAGUGAUGCAUGACGUUGGAGACAUGUCUUGAGUCAAAGACCAUCAGAGCUGAUUUAAUCGGAGAUUUAAGCUUACCGCAAAUUUUAAUCUGGAUCUAAUCGGAGAAAGAAUGAAACAGUGAAGGAGCAUCAAUUAGAAGAGGAUGAGGAUCCAUUGGAGUUAAACCUAGAGUUAAGCGGUCUAAUACCCUUGGAUAAUGAGAAAAUUAAGUGUAUGAGAAGCUUAGUUUAAUAAUAAAAAAUAUACUUAUUGCAAAAAUCGUUGUAGGC
rnacentral:lncRNA from 1 species